rnacentral:lncRNA from 1 species
CCUUACUUCCUUCCCUUCCCUCGGCUUCCCGCUCUUGCCUCACUCUCAGCGGCUGCCUUCGCCCCUGUCUGCAGACAGCGCCGCUGGAUGCUCCCAGCUGGACUUCAACCCCACUCCUCUCAGUCCCUCUCCCCACUGCCUUCCAGACGCGCCUCUUCCCCGCCCCGCGCCCCUCUCUCCUCUCCCACCCCUGCCCCUCUCCGCGGCGCUCACCCUCCUCAGUCCCAGUUUCUGAAAGGACUCAGCUGAGAAAGGACAACUGGGUUCCGCUUUCCUUAACCCUACACCCUUUAGCUGGAUGCUGUCAGAGGCGAUGGAGAAACGCAAAGGUGCGUUAAUUUUACUCUAGCCAGAGUAUAAAAGAACUGCCCACGCCAGCUAUUGUACUACGCAGCUUCGAAACUCCUGCACGCUCUCCUGUGUGGCUCCCGUCCGUGAUGGGACUGUAGUUGAGGAGCUCGGUCUCAAAUGGUGCCUUCCGUCAGUGACCUUGAGUCGGUUGCCUAAGAUUUUAGAUUUUCCUUUUCCUUCCUGGGAGGGGCAUUAUUUAUACCUUUGCAGUCCCACAAACAGUGUUUAGACCAAAUAAGUAUCCUUUAGUAAACCUAGAACUGCCAAGUGAUCAUCAUUUUGCCCGUUUGUUCCUACUCAACCCAGCAGACAAUUUGGGUCACGCUUCAGUUCUGGCAGUAAAGACAAACUGAGUCAGCAGUUAGGAGUGGACUCCCUUAAACAACAGAGUUAGAGUGGGGAAGUGGUCAUAACAUCGCUGUAAUCACAAACUUGUUUUUCCUAACACUGCAAUCUACAGAAGUUUCAGGAUUUCCUCUAAUAAACAUAAGGCUACUAGACGCAACAAUAGAAUUACCAUAUUGUUUUUCCUGGUUUGAAAGGACCAGAUGGAAAGAAACUGGGCAAGCCAAUGAAAGUCUCUGGGGAUCAUGGGAAUUGAGUGUCUAUGAAAACCAUAUUCCAGACAAGAAUAUAGUCUAAGGUUUAUGGGACUCCCCAGUACUCUCCAUGUAGAGUCUAAUGUAGAAUCCAGGAGUGCACAGAAAAGUCACUGGAUGACACAGCAAGAGGCAACAUUUUGGAAGCAGAGGGCAACUCUCACUGGAAACCAAAUCUCCUGGCACCUUGAUCUUGGAUUUUACAGCCUCCAGAACUGAUAGCUGGGAGGCAUUACAUAGUCAUGUGCGAGGUCAAAACUGAGUCACCACCACAACCAAGUUCCAGCUGGCAAGAAGAGGAAAAAUAACACAGAGGAGUUAUGACCAGUGUUGUAAGGAUCUGGCCUAGAAAUGGCAUGCAUCUCUUCCACUAAUAUCCUAUUGGUAAAAAUGUAGUCACAUGGGCACACCACCUAUCUGCAUGGAAGGCUGGGAAAUGUUGAUCGGUAGGGCAGCCAUAUGUGUAGGAAGGAGAAAACAGAAUUUGGUGGAUACCUAGUAGUCUCUGCCAUACCCUUGACCAGAAAUUUUUCUUCUAAAGAAUUUAAUUCUAAAAGUUAUAGACAUUCCCAAAGAUAUACCUGCAAGCAUCACAGCUUUGUGUAUAAUUGCAAAAGUUGAAAUCAACAUGAAUGCCCAAAAUAGUGAAUUAUUUAAACAGAUUAUUACCCAUAUUAUGAAGAAAUACUCUGCAACUCUUAAAAAUAAAUGUAAUGUGCCAGGCGCAAUGGGAUAUGCCUGCAGGCCCAGCUACAC